rnacentral:rRNA from 1 species
UGAGUAACACGUGGGUAACCUGCCCAUCAGAAGGGGAUAACACUUGGAAACAGGUGCUAAUACCGUAUAACAAUCGAAACCGCAUGGUUUCGGUUUGAAAGGCGCUUUUGCGUCACUGAUGGAUGGACCCGCGGUGCAUUAGCUAGUUGGUGAGGUAACGGCUCACCAAGGCAACGAUGCAUAGCCGACCUGAGAGGGUGAUCGGCCACAUUGGGACUGAGACACGGCCCAAACUCCUACGGGAGGCAGCAUG